rnacentral:rRNA from 1 species
GACGAACGCUGGCGGCGUGCUUAACACAUGCAAGUCGAACGGAAAGGCCCUGCUUUUCUGGGGUGCUCGAGUGGCGAACGGGUGAGUAACACGUGAGUAACCUGCCCUUGACUUUGGGAUAACUUCGGGAAACUGGGGCUAAUACCGGAUAGGAGCUCCUGCUGCAUGGUGGUGUGGGGAAAGUUUCGGCGGUUGGGGAGGGACUCGCGGCUUAUCAGCUUGUUGGUGGGGUAGUGGCUUACCAAGGCUUUGACGGGUAGCCGGCCUGAGAGGGUGACCGGCCACAUUGGGACUGAGAUACGGCCCAGACUCCUACGGGAGGCAGCAGUGGGGAAUAUUGCACAAUGGGCGGAAGCCUGAUGCAGCAACGCCGCGUGCGGGAUGACGGCCUUCGGGUUGUAAACCGCUUUCGCCUGUGACGAAGCGCGAGUGACGGUAAUGGGUAAAGAAGCACCGGCUAACUACGUG